rnacentral:rRNA from 1 species
UAGGGAAUCUUCCGCAAUGGGCGAAAGCCUGACGGAGCAACGCCGCGUGAGUGAUGAAGGUCUUCGGAUCGUAAAACUCUGUUAUUAGGGAAGAACAUAUGUGUAAGUAACUGUGCACAUCUUGACGGUACCUAAUCAGAAAGCCACGGCUAACUACGUGCCAGCAGCCGCGGUAAUACGUAGGUGGCAAGCGUUAUCCGGAAUUAUUGGGCGUAAAGCGCGCGUAGGCGGUUUUUUAAGUCUGAUGUGAAAGCCCACGGCUCAACCGUGGAGGGUCAUUGGAAACUGGAAAACUUGAGUGCAGAAGAGGAAAGUGGAAUUCCAUGUGUAGCGGUGAAAUGCGCAGAGAUAUGGAGGAACACCAGUGGCGAAGGCGACUUUCUGGUCUGUAACUGACGCUGAUGUGCGAAAGCGUGGGGAUCAAACAGGAUUAGAUACCCUGGGAGUCCACGCCGUAAACGAUGAGUGCUAAGUGUUAGGGGGUUUCCGCCCCUUAGUGCUGCAGCUAACGCAUUAAGCACUCCGCCUGGGGAGUACGACCGCAAGGUUGA